rnacentral:lncRNA from 1 species
GAGUGGUGAUGAGUCAGACAACACUCAGUCCUGCUGUGACGAUCACCACAGCCAGUGCAAACAUGACCACUGCUGCUCCCAGCACUACAGCGCUCAGCUGCUCCGGCCUCAACACUUCCACCUGUGCUGCCUGCGCUCCUGGCUCUUAUUAUGAUAAUGAAACUCUGUUGUGUUCUUGCUGUCCUGAGGCCGGGCUGUGUGUGUUCCCUGGAGCCUGUCUUCUGUGUGUGCAGGGUUUCUAUCAGCCUCUAGCAGGACAGCAGGGCUGUCUGCCCUGUUUAUCUGGGUUUUACAGCAAUUCCACUGGAAGCCCCGUCUGCCAGCCGUGUCCUACUGGGUCCUACAGCAAUAACACGGGCUCUGCCUCCUGUACAGCCUGUGCACCAGGUAACAAGUGACAUGCAUACAUAUGUAAAUUCAUUCAUUCAUUCAUUCUGCUUUCCUACCUAAAUAAAUUGACAUAUUGAGAGGUGGAGAAAAAACAAACGCAAAUGCAACUAUUGAAAUACUGAGGGGAAAUAAGAAUUUAGAUUCAUUUAGAAUUUUUUAUUAAAAUACAUAAAAGUGUAUCAUUGUAUAUUUCACUGGAAUCAUUAAAAAUUAUUCUUUAUUACAUAAAAGUACAUGUAUCUAUGAAAAAUAAAAAGCAUAAGUAUUAUAUACCUUAUAGUACAGUUAUGAGAUGUAAAAUGUUAUCUGAAAUUAAACAUUUAAUAAAGCAUACAAAAUAUAUUGUACUGUUUCUUUUCUUCUCUUUGCAAAAUUCAACAUCAUGUAACCCAUGUCCACAAGGCAUGUACUGCAAUUCCUCCAGCUGUACUCAGUGUCAGGUCUGUCCUGCAGGCUCAGAGGCUCUACAGACCGCUUCCAAAGAAUGCACACCUUGUCGCCCAGGAAUGCACAAGCCUGCCCAUCAAAUCAUUUGUCAGAUUUGCAGCAGGGGUUUCUAUCAGAUCCACUGGGGCCAGGAGAACUGUGACCGGUGUCCUGAAAACCACUACUGCCCUUGGGUCUUCUCUUCAUCAUUAUUUUGGUUCUGCGGAGGAGAAGAGAUAAUGACAGCGAGCUUUCCCUUGCCCGGACCCCCCUCCUGCGUAAAAGACCGCCCACGUGGUCGCUUCUAUGGAAUCCCUUGUGAUGCUGAGCCUGUUUAUGCAGGCUGGUGACGUCACAUGACCAUGUACAUACCUCACAGAUUGUAAGCUUUAUAUUGGUAAGAUACUAUUAAAUAUUUAAUGAAUGAAGACGCACUUUUCUGCAUUCCAUUUUUAAAACCUGUUUACUACUGACCGUGUUGUGAAGUUACAUCUCUUUUGAUUCCGCCUGCUUUUCUUGUAUUUAAUGUGAUGCGUCUCAUUAAUUUUAAAACAGAAUAUUUUAGACAAUUUCCAAGGUUGUAAACUGCAAUAAACAGCUUUUCACAACUUUGAUAUAAAAGUGUGGUGUCUCUAUGAAAGAUUGAUGGGUUAUUCCUGAAACUUUCCUUCAGAAAUCCCCAACAUGUGCUUUCAGUAUCUGAACUGUCAUAAGACAAAUCCAGUUUUAUUGAUCAUACUUUAAUAAAAAAAAACUUUAAUUACAAAAAUAUAUUUUAAUAAUAAAAUUCACAUUGUUAAAAAAAUGGUUUAAUCUCUUAUUGCAUAAUUCUAUAAAAUAUAUUUUUUUAAAUAUAUAAGCCAUAGAAGGUAUAGUAAUGCUGCUGCAUGCAUACCAGUAAGGUUUCAGUACUAUGGCAGGCAGAAUUGAAAUAAAACUGGUUUGACUAUCCAUAAUACUUACAAUUGUAUUUUGACAAGACAUCAUUAUAAUUUGAUUAGUAAGAGUAGUAAAUAAAGAUAUUUGCAAUUAUAAUUGGACAAGUAAGAAAUCUGAUUAGAGAUAUCUCUAAAAACUUUAAAUAAAUUAGUGUGUAGAUUGAGUGUUCUCUGCAUACCUUACGUCAUUAAUUUUAAAACAGAAUAUUUUAGACAAUUUCCAAGGUUGUAAACUGCAAUAAACAGCUUUUCACAACUUUGAUAUAAAAGUGUGGUGUCUCUAUGAAAGAUUGAUGGGUUAUUCCUGAAACUUUCCUUCAGAAAUCCCCAACAUGUGCUUUCAGUAUCUGAACUGUCAUAAGACAAAUCCAGUUUUAUGAUCAUACUUUAAAUAAAAAAAAAACUUUAUUACAAAAAA